rnacentral:lncRNA from 1 species
CUAGAGUCUGCUUUUCUGGAAUUCUUUUUGUCUAUUAGUUUAUGUUAUUCAUAUGAAGAAGGCCAGAGAUUUUCUUAAGUAUCAUUUCAAAUUGCCUGUAUCCAAAAAUGAUGAACCUCUUUCCACAAAGGGAUGGCAUGUUCCAACAGGACAUACUCAUUAGCUAGCCAUACAUGGACACUCUUUUCCACCAGGAAUGGAAAAGAUUGGAAUGUCUUUGGAAUGUCUCAUUCCAAUCUCAUAGGAAAAUGUAUAUGUUAUGCUCAACCACACAUCAAGUUUGGCAUGUAUAACACCAUCCAUUGUUCCAUCUCACAUGAAAGCAUGUUGUUAAACUUUUGUCAUUUAUCUACUGCUAAGCAUCAGUCUUAUGUGUUUCAAAUUAGAUUUUCC